rnacentral:rRNA from 1 species
GAAUUCGCCCUUAGAGUUUGAUCCUGGCUCAGGACGAACGCUGGCGGCGUGCCUAACACAUGCAAGUCGAGCGGAGACAGUGAGUAGCUUGCUAUGAGCUGUUUUAGCGGCGGACGGGUGAGUAACGCGUGAGCAACCUUUCCCAGACAGGGGAAUAACACACCGAAAGGUGUACUAAUACCGCAUAAGACCACGGGAUCACAUGGUUCUGGGGUAAAAGAAUUAUCGGUUUGGGGUGGGCUCGCGUCCGAUUAGGUAGUUGGUGAGGUAACGGCCCACCAAGCCGACGAUCGGUAGCCGACCUGAGAGGGUGAUCGGCCACAUUGGGACUGAGACACGGCCCAAACUCCUACGGGAGGCAGCAGUGGGGAAUAUUGCACAAUGGGCGAAAGCCUGAUGCAGCAACGCCGCGUGAGGGAAGACGGUUUUCGGAUUGUAAACCUCUGUUUUCGGUGACGAACAAAUGACGGUAACCGAGUAGGAAGCCACGGCUAACUACGUGCCAGCAGCCGCGGUAAUACGUAGGGAGCAAGCGUUGUCCGGAUUUACUGGGUGUAAAGGGUGCGUAGGCGGCUUUGCAAGUCAGAUGUGAAAUCUAUGGGCUCAACCCAUAAACUGCAUUUGAAACUGUAGAGCUUGAGUGAAGUAGAGGCAGGCGGAAUUCCCCGUGUAGCGGUGAAAUGCGUAGCGAUGGGGAGGAACACCAGUGGCGAAGGCGGCCUGCUGGGCUUUAACUGACGCUGAGGCACGAAAGCGUGGGUAGCAAACAGGAUUAGAUACCCUGGUAGUCCACGCUGUAAACGAUGAUUACUAGGUGUUGGAGGAUUGACCCCUUCAGUGCCGCAGUUAACACAAUAAGUAAUCCACCUGGGGAGUACGACCGCAAGGUUGAAACUCAAAGGAAUUGACGGGGGCCCGCACAAGCAGUGGAGUAUGUGGUUUAAUUCGAAGCAACGCGAAGAACCUUACCAGGUCUUGACAUCCGAUGCAUAGCGCAGAGAUGCGUGAAGUCCUUCGGGACAUCGAGACAGGUGGUGCAUGGUUGUCGUCAGCUCGUGUCGUGAGAUGUUGGGUUAAGUCCCGCAACGAGCGCAACCCUUAUUGCCAGUUACUACGCAAGAGGACUCUGGCGAGACUGCCGUUGACAAAACGGAGGAAGGUGGGGAUGACGUCAAAUCAUCAUGCCCUUUAUGACCUGGGCUACACACGUACUACAAUGGCGUUAAACAAAGAGAAGCAAGACCGCGAGGUGGAGCAAAACUCAAAAAUAACGUCUCAGUUCGGAUUGUAGUCUGCAACUCGACUACAUGAAGCUGGAAUCGCUAGUAAUCGCGAAUCAGAAUGUCGCGGUGAAUACGUUCCCGGGUCUUGCACACACCGCCCGUCA